rnacentral:rRNA from 1 species
UACAGAGGUCUCAACCGUUGUUCGGAUUCAUUGGGCGUAAAGGGUGCGUAGGCGGUCGUGCAAGUCGGAUGUGAAAUCUCAGGGCUCAACCCUGAAACUGCAUUCGAUACUGCGCGGCUAGAGUGCUGGAGGGGAGACUGGAAUUUACGGUGUAGCAGUGAAAUGCGUAGAUAUCGUAAGGAAGACCAGUGGCGAAGGCGAGUCUCUGGGGCGGUACUGACGCUGAGACGCGAAAGCGUGGGGAGCGAACAGG